rnacentral:misc_RNA from 1 species
UCAACCAUCAAGCCUAGCUUGUCGUUGGACCCCUUUGCAGCUGAAAUAUGUGGCAGGUCCGAAAGAUAAUGACGGCGUCGUGUUUGACCCUAGAUGCAACGAGCUUUUUAUAGCACGCAUUGAAGUGGUCAGCCGACCCGGUCUUUAACCAUCAUUUUCUAAGG